rnacentral:misc_RNA from 1 species
GUCGUAACAAGGUUUCCGUAGGUGAACCUGCGGAAGGAUCAUUGUCGAAUCCUGUAGAAGCAAACCGCGAACAUGUUUAAUCACAUUGGGAUUGUGGCGGGGGUAAUCUCUCGCUGCAUCCCCCUCCCUGCACGCUCUCACUUUAGUGGGUGUUGUGUGGGCUAACGAACCCCGGCGCGGUAUGCGCCAAGGAUUACUAAUGAAUUGUCCACCCACUCGGCCCCGUUUGCGGUGAGUUAGGGGGAGAGGAUGAAUCUCUAAUGUCAAAACGACUCUCGGCAACGGAUAUCUCGGCUCUCGCAUCGAUGAAGAACGUAGCGAAAUGCGAUACUUGGUGUGAAUUGCAGAAUCCC